rnacentral:rRNA from 1 species
UGGGGAAUUUUGGACAAUGGGCGAAAGCCUGAUCCAGCAAUGCCGCGUGUGUGAAGAAGGCCUUCGGGUUGUAAAGCACUUUUGUCCGGAAAGAAAUCCUUGGCUCUAAUACAGUCGGGGGAUGACGGUACCGGAAGAAUAAGCACCGGCUAACUACGUGCCAGCAGCCGCGGUAAUACGUAGGGUGCAAGCGCUAAUCGGAAUUACUGGGCGUAAAGCGUGCGCAGGCGGUUUGCUAAGACCGAUGUGAAAUCCCCGGGCUCAACCUGGGAACUGCAUUGGUGACUGGCAGGCUAGAGUAUGGCAGAGGGGGGUAGAAUUCCACGUGUAGCGGUGAAAUGCGUAGAGAUGUGGAGGAAUACCGAUGGCGAAGGCAGCCCCCUGGGCCAAUACUGACGCUCAUGCACGAAAGCGUGGGGAGCAAACAGGAUUAGAUACCCUGGUAGUCCACGCCCUAAACGAUGUCAACUAGUUGUUGGGGAUUCAUUUCCUUAGUAACGUAGCUAACGCGUGAAGUUGACCGCCUGGGGAGUACGGUCGCAAGAUUAAAACUCAAAUGAAUUGACGGGGUCAUAGCUGUUUCCU